rnacentral:lncRNA from 12 species
GAAGAAUACAUGCUGAGGAUAGCUUUCAGCUGCUGCGCUCUUAACUUAAGCCAAGUGCCUUGAAACUGCAGGUGAUAAAGACUUUCUACAUUAUAGCUGAUGAAAAUGCAAUCAGGAACUGUGGACAUGGCUUACCCUGAAAUCACAAUCAAG